CCUACGGGAGGCAGCAGUAGGGAAUCUUCCACAAUGGGCGCAAGCCUGAUGGAGCAACACCGCGUGAGUGAAGAAGGGUUUCGGCACGUAAAGCUCUGUUGGUGGAGAAGAACGUGCGUGAGAGUAACUGUUCACGCAGGGACGGUAUCGAACCAGCAAGUCCCGGCUAACUACGUGCCAGCAGCCGCGGUAAUACGUAGGGGGCAAGCGUUAUCCGGAUUUAUUGGGCGUAAAGAGAGCGCAGGCGGGUGCUUAGGUCUGAUGUGAAAGCCCUCGGCUUAACAGAAGAAGUGCAGCGGAAACCGGGCGACUUGAGUGCAGGAGAGGACAGUGGAACUCCAAGUGUAGCGGUGGAAUGCGUAGAUAUAUGGAAGAACACCAGUGGCGAAGGCGGCUGUCUGGACUGCAACUGACGCUGAGGCUCGAAAGCAUGGGUAGCGAACAGGAUUAGAUACCCUUGUAGUC
rnacentral:rRNA from 1 species